AGUUAGCUGACGCAUAUUGCACGUCGUGGGACCUACCAUGACGAACACAUACUUGAGCGCUU
rnacentral:rRNA from 1 species